GAGUUUGAUCCUGGCUCAGAACGAACGCUGGCGGCGUGCCUAACACAUGCAAGUCGAGCGGGAAAGUGGGGGCAACCCCACGAGUACAGCGGCGCACGGGUGAGUAACACGUAGGUAACCUACCUGCGAGCCUGGGAUAACCUGCCGAAAGGCGGGCUAAUACCGGAUAAGACCACAGGGGCUGCGGCCUCUGGGGUAGAAGGUGGCCUCUCCUUGGAAGCUACCACUCGUAGAUGGGCCUGCGCGCCAUUAGCUAGUUGGCGGGGUAAUGGCCCACCAAGGCUUAGAUGGCUAGCUGGUCUGAGAGGAUGGCCAGCCACACUGGGACUGAGACACGGCCCAGACUCCUACGGGAGGCAGCAGUGGGGAAUCUUGCGCAAUGGGCGAAAGCCUGACGCAGCGACGCCGCGUGGGUGAUGAAGGCCUUCGGGUCGUAAAGCCCUGUCGGGAGGGACGAAACCUUGGUGACCUAAUACGUCACUGACCUGACGGUACCUCCUAAGGAAGCACCGGCUAACUCCGUGCCAGCAGCCGCGGUAC
rnacentral:rRNA from 1 species